UACGUAGGGGGCUAGCGUUGUCCGGAAUCAUUGGGCGUAAAGCGCGUGUAGGCGGUCCGGUAAGUCCGCUGUGAAAGUCGGGGGCUCAACCCUCGGAUGCCGGUGGAUACUGUCGGGCUUGAGUACGGAAGAGGCGAGUGGAAUUCCUGGUGUAGCGGUGAAAUGCGCAGAUAUCAAGGAGGAACACCAAUUGCGAAGGCAGCUCGCUGGGACGUUACUGACGCUCAGGCGCGACAGCGUGGGGAUCAAACAGG
rnacentral:rRNA from 1 species